UAAUAAUUAGUUUAUAGGAACAGUGCAAUUUGACUGCAAUAGAAGUAGUGUAAUUCUGCUAUUAUUAA
rnacentral:tRNA from 1 species